rnacentral:tRNA from 1 species
GGAGGUCAAAUCCCCUGCUAAGGGAGUAGGCGUCUAAAAAGCGCGCGAGGGUUCAAAUCCCUCUCACUCCGCCA